GACCUCGGAUCAGACGUGACCUUACCCGCUGAACUUAAGCAUA
rnacentral:rRNA from 1 species